CUACGGGGCGCUCCAGUGAGGAAUAUUGCACAAUGGGGGGAACCCUGAUGCAGCAACGCCGCGUGGAGGAUGAAGCAUUUCGGUGUGUAAACUCCUUUUAUAUGUCAAGAAAAUGACGGUAGCAUAUGAAUAAGCACCGGCUAACUCCGUGCCAGCAGCCGCGGUAAUACGGAGGGUGCAAGCGUUACUCGGAAUCACUGGGCGUAAAGGACGCGUAGGCGGGUUGGAAAGUCAGGUGUGAAAUCCUACAGCUUAACUGUAGAACUGCACUUGAAACUUCUAAUCUAGAGUAUGGGAGGGGGAGAUGGAAUUAGUGGUGUAGGGGUAAAAUUCGUAGAUAUCACUAGGAAUACCUAAAGCGAAGGCGAGCCCCUGGAGUAAUAUUUAUGAGAAGCAGCCAACGCGAUGCUACAGACCAGGAUUAGAUACCCGUGUAGUC
rnacentral:rRNA from 1 species